rnacentral:lncRNA from 1 species
CUUUUCCUUUCAUGUUCAGAUGAGGAUUUGUGGUUUUCACUGUAUUCUUAAUUUUAAAAAGAUCACAGGUUCAGUUAUUACUCGAAUAUCCAAAUAUACAAUUCAGUAAUUCGGUUAGUUUCAAAUUUCGGUUAGUAUUUCAGAUAGUAAAAUUAUCGAUAAUUCGGUUUUUGGUUAUAACUGAAUAGCCUAUUCGGUUCGGUUAUAACUGAAUGAUCACUCAUAAUCGGAACAUCAGAACAUAUACAUAAUAGC